rnacentral:rRNA from 1 species
ACACGAACCGGACAAACGUUAUUCGGAAUUAUUGGGCUUAAAGGGUGCGUAGGCGGCGCGGUAAGUGAGGUGUGAAAGCCCACGGCUCAACCGUGGAAUUGCGCUUCAUACUGCCGUGCUAGAGGGAGACAGAGGUAAGCGGAACUGAUGGUGGAGCGGUGAAAUGCGUUGAUAUUAUCAGGAACACCAGUGGCGAAGGCGGCUUACUGGGUCUCUUCUGACGCUGAGGCACGAAAGCUAGGGUAGCGAACGGGAGUAGAAACCCCGGUAGUCC